rnacentral:sRNA from 1 species
UGCACACGCCUCUUUGGGCGUUUCCUCCCUAGACUUCGGGCCGCCCGUUUGGGCGGCCUCUUUUUUUGUCCGGA